GCAUCGUAAGCAAUCAUUGGUGCAUCAUGACCACUGGAUCCACCCCAACCUGCAUAACUGACAGAUUUAUAAAAAGCAUCACGUUCAGGUCACAUUAUGAUGACCCUAUUUACAUAAUAGCGGCAUUUUGAUAUGGAUCAUGGAUUGAAUGGCUGUAGUAGUGAAGAUAUUAAAGCAAAACAGCAAUGGCAAUUCAAA